rnacentral:tRNA from 1 species
GGGCCGAUAGUUUAGUGGUAAAAUACGAGGCUGGCAGUCUUGAGUCCCGAGUUCAAUUCUCGGUCGGUCCA